GCUAGGCACAGUUGCUCAUGCCUGUAAUCCCAGCAGCUGGGAGGCUGAGGCAGGAGGAUCACAAGUUUGAAGUCUGCCUCAGCAACUUUGGGAAAUCCUGUCUCAA
rnacentral:sRNA from 1 species